AGAUGUGAGAAUGAGCUGACUGUAACAUCUGUCACCCCAUUGACAGUCAUGGUUGAUUCUAGGCAGGUGUCCCCUUCCUCUCUCACCUGUCCAUGUGCACCCCUCCCAAAGUUGCAUGCUCUGUCAAAAAGAACAACCUUCCCCAACAGUGGAGGACUGUUCUUCAGUCAAGGGUAAAUGAGUAGCUGUACUUCCCUGCUAGAAUCUCCAAACACUCUCUCGAGGCCCACAAAGUUCUAUGUGGGCUAGUGAGGGGGUUGUCGACUCCUCAAAUCUACUAGAAAGCACAGUUUCCUA
rnacentral:snRNA from 1 species